UCUCGGCAGGGCCCGCCCUGGCCGCCCCGGGGGCCUCGGUGGCCGUGGCCGGGGCAGUGGCUGAGGUAGCGGCGUCCUCUCCGGCCGCGGGUGCGGCGAGGCUUGGCACAGGCGCUGGGGCGUCGGCGAGGCCCUCGGGAAGUGGCCUAGGCCGGCUUGCGUCUUCACCGUCGUCCUGUCCUGGGGUCCCCGAGCAUAGUGGCUGUGCCUUCGCCUUCUCCGCCGGCUGCGUCGCUUCUUCCCGGUCUGCCGGGGCUGCGGCCACCUCUGCCAGCCCUCCCUGAGACUUGGUGGCCACUAUGUUGCCACCUGGCUCCUCGGCGUCGGUGGCUUCCACGCCGUCACAGCUGUCACCUUCCGAGCUGGGUGCAGCGCGGCUACUUCGAGCUGAAGGUGUCGGUCAGAGGGAGGGGUAGGUUUGAGCCACAAGGAGUCAGCUGUGCAGGAGGAACCAACUCUAACUAAGACAACGGCAGGAACUAACUCGAACUAAGACAACGGCAGGAACCAACUCUAACUAAGACAACGGCAGGAACCAACUCUAACUAAGACAAUGGCAGGAACUAACUCGAACUAAGACAACGGCAGGAACUAACUCGAACUAAGACAACGGCAGGAACUAAGACAACAGUGAGGGUCCUUGCUUGUUGCCAUUUCUACACAUCACAGGAGGAGGAAACCCCAUUAGGCUAACAUCCAUCCAAGGAGCAUCAUACUGUCAGACCACCUCGUUGUGCUAUUAACCUCCCGGCACACAACUGCCAAGCUAACAGACGGCUCUCACUCCUGAGGCGGCAAGACUUCACAUGCACUAAGACAAAGUCUCGUGUAGCACAGACUACUUUUGAUUUCACUCUGUAGCUGGGGAUGACCUUGAAUGCCUCAUCUUCUGGCCUCCACAGGUAAAGCUCAAGCAGACUUAGAGGCAAUGCACAACCUUCGUGACAACUGCCAACUGAAGAAAGGAUCCUGUGUCCUGGUAGAACGUCUUGAAUGUGAUUGAGGUGCCUACAGCACUAUCCAACAACACUGGGUGAUGGCAGGGUCAGCUUCCUAGAGCCGAACAGUGACUGGAGAAGGUGUGGGCUCUAGUGGGUAAGUGGUAAAAGUCAGCGAGGGACAUAAAGGGCAGUGACACUGAGUUCCCGAGUAACAACAGCGUUGCCACACACCCUGCCUGAAGAUCUGGGAGAUCAAGGAGAAGAGGAUGUUUCCAGGCAGUACCUUGACAAGGCUCAUGCAAGACUCAAGCACACCAUUUAAGUGAAGAUGACGUGGAACUCCUGAUCCUCUUGUCCCCCGUCCUGUUGUGAUUAUGGAGCUCGGUGCAUUAUGCCUGCUGGGCAAGCAUUCUAACUGAGCCACAUCCUAUUCCCAAGUUUUUUCAACUUAAAGAAAACAAAAUACUGAGAAAUGGCCAUUUCUUCUGAGAACUAAUGGCUAGAGGGUCAGGGUGGUAAAGAAGAGAAAGCAACCUCAGAUUCUUGUGACCAAUUCUCCAAUUACAAGCAUGUCAUUAUCCAAUGACACA
rnacentral:lncRNA from 1 species